rnacentral:lncRNA from 1 species
UUGGAUAUAUACUUGCCUUUAACUCCGGUGUCUAUCUCAAAUUUCUAUUAACACUAUGUAGUGCCAUAUCAUUCCUUUCAGCUAGCUUCUGACAAGAUUCUAUCAAUAGCAAAUCUCUGCCUAACUUCAACUUGCAACACUACCUUGGCUAUUUCUGAAUAUCCAUUUCAAUCACUUCUCGAUCCAUGCCACGAUCAACAUCUCGUUCAACUCUAUACGAUAAUAAAACAGUAUUUCAGUCGUCAAAUCCGACUGAUUAACUAACUCCAAAAGGCAUUAAGACCUAUAUAUAACUACCCUUCGCAUAUACAUACCACGUAGCCAGAUAAACACAUAGCACAUAGUUGAACAAUUAACUUUUAUAGAUAUUAAAAGUCAAUAUUGAUAAGUUAACAUAUAACAUGUUUCAGUUAACCAUGUCACCUUAUUCUAAUCUAUUUAAUAUCCUUUAACAAGUAAAACAUAUAUAGUUUCUAACGAAAAUUCGACAGCACUUCCUCUAUUUAUCGGACUAUCCACCUGUUUUCUUAUAUUAUUCAACAAGUAACCAGCUCAAUCCAACUCAAUAAACCAAUAAGUACGGGACCAAUAUCAGUUAAAACACAAUAUCACAGUAUGCACACUCACAUCGCUAGAUUUGAAAUCAUAUAUCACUGUUAGACAUGAUUAACACUGAUCAACCAAGUAUAACCUCCUCCUAUGCACUAAUCAAAGAAAGAAAACUAGAACAAAUAGUUCAAACAGCCCUCACUCUAUGAUUUUUAAUAAAUUGAAAAUUUAUCUUUUUAAUACAAAAUUUUUAUGAGACACUCCUAAACAUUAUUCCAAUCUACUAUAAAAAUUUCAGAAGCAAAUUCCAUGUUUAAGAGAGUAAAACAGGGCCUGCAAGUCAAGAACCUGAAUCUGUCCUGCAGAACCAGCCCCACGCUAAGAAUUUUAAUAAAUAGAAAAAUUGGUCUGUUUGUAUAAAAUUUUAAUGACAUAUUCCAGACACUAACAUCUAACUCCAGUAAAAAUUUCAGAAUUAAACACCAAGUAUAAGGCCUCCAAACAGAGUCUGCAAUCAGUACAACAGACCCUGUCGAGGAACUCUGCGCACGAAGCACCUCUUUGAUCAUAACUUUUAACUCAAUUAUGAUUAUAAUCUAAUUCUUUCGCAGGUGUAAUCUACACUCCAAAUUGUAACUUGUCACCAAAAUUCAUUGAAAUAUAACAUUCUUAAGACAACUAAAUGUUUGUACCAAAAUAGUAGAAAAUGGUAGCCACUCGAGAACCAAUCUGCACCUAUACAACUCAAUCGCUUAUAACUUUUAAUACAUUUAGCAAAACAUAGUAAUUCUUUUUCAUACUUAAUCUAAACUUCAAGAAACAUAAAAUCACCGAGAAAUCAAGCAUAUCAUACGAACUAAACAAUUCCAAAACAGAGAUUCAAAACAAGACAGCACUGCUACGGAAGCUUGACAACAAUUGACUCAAUUCUAAUGCCACAACUCAAACUAAUCAAAACCCAUAUAACUACAUAUCUUUAUAUGUGUAAUCUGAUUCGAAUUAAAAAAAAAUACUAAUUCACAGCUUUAGACAUCACACAAGCAGGUCUGUACAUAUACAUACACACAAAACCAAUAAAGGAGACAAUUCAAAAUAUACCCAAUUAGAAUAACCAGAGGUGUAGGUGGGUUGUGGCCAAUAGAGUUAAUUGACCGGAGAACUGAAGUAUAAGGCUGGCUUCGAGGGCCACUGUGCAGCGACUGGAGAUGUGGUAGGAGGCUAGGAGCGGAGGAUGGCAGCUACGGAGAAAUCCGGCGGCGGCAGGACAACCCGACAAAGCACGGUGCCGGGAAACGAAGCAGCGGGUACAAAGGUGAAAGAUGGAAGCGGGUGAGUGUUCAGAGAGAGAGAGAGAGACGCGAGAGAUUGAGGGAUAGCAAGGGAUUGAGGGAGAUUGAGAAACAGUGACGAGAGAGAAUUGAUGAGAGACGAGGGUUUUAGAGUCUGUAAAUUAGGGAAGAAAGAUGUACGUGGCAGUAGAAUAGAAAGGAUACAUGACCACGCGGCUUAAUUAUAACCUGCCAUCUAUUAUUUUAUAUAUUGACUAAUCAACUAUCAAAUACCCGCUUUUAACUGAUUUACGGAGAUAAAUCACAGCAAAAUUUCUCCCGACAACUACCGAAAUAUUUUUAUAAAUCCCGAAAUAUCAUAAAACUAAUCAAAUAAAAGUUUCGGGAUUUAUAGAGCAUUUUCAAAAUUUGUACAAAUUUCUGAAAUUAGUUGUGUUUAGGAAAUAUUUAAAAAUCAUACCUUUAUAAAAAUAAUAUAUUUAAUACUUUAAAACUCCUUAAAAUAUUUAUAAUCAUUUUCAAGUAAUUAAAAGAAUUUUUCAAAUCAUUUUUAUUUUCUUAGAAAUUCAUUUUUUUGUAAUCCAUUUUUAAGUAAAUCAUAAAUAUUUAUAAAACAACACAGCAGUUACUAACAAAUAUACACACAAGCAUAAAUCACAUCCAGAUAAUAAAGUUAAAUCAUGGAACAAGUAAUUCACAUAUUUUACAUGGUAUUCAAUUCAAAACAGACAACAAAUUUCAAUACCCUAAUGAACCGGAAAAAUAAUUUAAACAAAUACUUUUAAAAUUUAUUAAACUAGAAUAAAAUAUUAGAUUUUUAUUCCACAUUUUCUGAAGAAUCACAAAUAAACUAACAAAAUAAAUUUCCAAAGAUCCGGGUCGUCACAAUCUACCCCCCUUAAAAGGAUUCCGUCCUCGGAAUCAGCGAGAAGCAAACUAAAGCGUAUGAUCUCUAUAUCCGUCAUACUUUUUCUUUCUUCUAUAAAUUUUUUGUUGAUCGCCUCCGUAUACCCGCAUUGUCAUCCGUUUUCAUCCCUGGUGCUUCAUACUACAAAGUCUUAAUUCAUGUUGGCAACUUGGUUGGCAUACCUCCAAAGUCUUAGAGAUAACAAGAAUCUUGAAGAUUUAAAAGUAUGACUGAUUUCCUAUAUCGAAGCAAAUGUCACGUGACUGUGGUCAUAUGAUUAUGAGUUUGUUGAAUAAAUCUUAUUUGAAUGAGAGAAUAACUGAGAGACCAAUAUGAUCUAAAGAACUCGGUGUUGCGUGUCUAUAUUACGACACUACUAAAGGUAGUUAACCUUCUUGUAAUGUACAACACACACAAGUGAUGGCGUCCCAUCCAACUCCUAUCACACAGAUAGGUAGUCCUUGUGUCCCCUAUCAGUAGGGUUGUUCACCUCAGUUAGAGUAGAGAAUAUGAAAGCGUUUGAAAUUAUUAAAAUUGAAUAGAUUCUAAAGAUGUUACAGUAAGCACAAGUAUCAUUCGAGAACUCAAGUUAAAGGUAAAAAUAUAUUCUUUAUCAAAUAUCUUUGUGAAAGUGAUGUCAGAACAAAUCAUUGAUGGGGAAGGAAAUCAAUAUAAUUAACAAUGAGGAAGGUAUUGCCAGGAUUCUCACAGAUGUCUUCUUGAUCGAUUCCUUUGAUGACUCGUUCUGAUUCCAGUGAUUCUUCUUGACGUUCUAGUGAUCACUUGCAUAUAUUAUCGUUGACUCGUAAUAGCCUCUGCAGAUCCCAUCAUUGAUAUCGUUGUCGAUCAAAAGUCUUAUCCAAAUUUAUACAAUCAUCACCAUAGAGCGUUGACGUCUUAACUCACUCAUAACUACUAUAUCGAGUAAUCUAACACGAAUUCUAUGUAGCUCCAACGCUCACUACUUAACUAUAUACAAAGUUUUAAACUCGAACCUGGUAACACCUAUAUUCUUUCACCAAUUCCAUAUAUCUCUGAUAAGAAUCAAAAGGUGACUCUCCAAAUAAUACUCAACACUUGGAGGAUACUAUAAAGAAUACAUUAGACUGUGUUAGAAACACUAGUCCAACCUCAAGUGGUUCUAAUUUCAAAGUUCUUAUAAUAGUCUAACUCUGAUCCUCUCUAUAUGACUUACUAAAUUAGUCAAUAUACUAGGGCUAGAAGAACUAGAAUUAGGAAUUGUGAUGUCUAUAACUAUAAACACUUAAACUUAAUCAUCUAGCUCCAUUUUAUUCUGCUUAGAAAGACUAUCCCCAAAUAGUCUUACGGUACCUCUAUGUGAGGUUACACCACGUAAUCCUUUUUAUCAAACCUAUUAUUACAAUCUACAUUCUGAUUUCAAUAACUUAUAACCUGUAGCUCUGAUACCAACUGUGACAUCCCUCAAAUCCGGGGGUCUGGAUCUGGUGCCACUAAAAGAAAAACAAUUGAAAACCAGUAUUUUUUUUUCUAAAGAAAGUAAAAACAAGUAUUUCAAACCUGGAUAUUAAAAAAAUUGAUUUACACUUUUGAAACAUGUAUUGUUGAAAAACUAAUAAAAAUCAAAGAAUUGAAAACCUAAAAGCUUUAAUAAAAGAUUUAAAAGAACAAAGUUUAACCCCCUUUAAAAGAGGAUCGCAAACAGGCUAUAGUAUUGAAAUCAGAAAAGUAAAACUAAUAAAUCCUAUUACAUGUUUUUACAACUAAAUCAAAUUUAGUCAACUCCAAUUACCACUAGUCCCACAGACUCGAUCUUGAUUACUCUUCCUGACCAUCAGGUUGAAACUUAAUCACUUGCAAUCCUCGCCUAGCCUUACUCUUACGCUUAGCAUAAAUAGGCGAACCAUCUUUAACAUUAUCUGAAAGGGGUUAGAAGAAAUAGCAAGAAUGAGCAAAAGAAUGCUCAGCAAGUAUAUAAUAUCCAAACCAACAAUAAAUCAAACAGUAUGUAAAACCUGACAAUGAUAUAAAGAUAAUGAUACCAACACAAUAUGAUUUAAACAAAACAGUUUCUCCUUUAUGGAAUUGGAACCAGAUAAGACGCUACGAGCUAAGCUGGGUGAUCAGCCCACGACAUAGCUCCGAACCCGCAUAUUCAAUACGAGUUCUCAAAUAUAAAGGAUCCUAGGCACACUUUGGCCUUUAAUAAUUCAAUUGGGACCGGCGCCUCGGUCAUAAAACAUUUUCAUCCAAUUCCCUUUCUAAAACAGAUAAAUCAAAUCAUUUUUCAUUUUAAGACCAAGGUUCAAAAUCUGUAAGCAACAUUGAUUCUCAACCAAAUAUUCAUUUCAACACCUUAGCAUUAGAUUUCUACUAAUUAAGUAUUCUUUAUCAAGGGUAUAGGUUACUGAAUCAAGUGUAUCAAUGUAUUUUAUAAUAAUGGCAGGGUAGGUUGUAUGAUGAUAACUAAGGUCUUUCAAGAAAUGGGGUUUCAUUUCUGGGUCAGGAACAAACAAGUGAACUAGUUUUUUUUAUAAGCAAGAACACAAUUUGUUGUAGUUAAAAGGGAGGUAAGAAAACAAGGUUCUAAGCUCAAUAAUAAGUAACUAGCAGUUGAAGAAGAUAAGGAUGAUAAUUAAGUUGAUACAUUUGCAAGAUAUAAGUGACAAAAGGUAUUCCAUUUCAUACUUGGGUAAUUCCAGAAUACUCGUAAUUAGUAGAAGUCUAAUUCUAUAAGGAGUUUUGCAAUAUUCAAAGCAUAACAAAAGCAUUGCAGGAGCAAAAUCUUUUAAAGAGAAAGUAGGUUGGAUAUAUACUUGCCUUUAACUCCGGUGUCUAUCUCAAAUUUCUAUUAACACUAUGUAGUGCCAUAUCAUUCCUUUCAGCUAGCUUCUGACAAGAUUCUAUCAAUAGCAAAUCUCUGCCUAACUUCAACUUGCAACACUACCUUGGCUAUUUCUGAAUAUCCAUUUCAAUCACUUCUCGAUCCAUGCCACGAUCAACAUCUCGUUCAACUCUAUACGAUAAUAAAACAGUAUUUCAGUCGUCAAAUCCGACUGAUUAACUAACUCCAAAAGGCAUUAAGACCUAUAUAUAACUACCCUUCGCAUAUACAUACCACGUAGCCAGAUAAACACAUAGCACAUAGUUGAACAAUUAACUUUUAUAGAUAUUAAAAGUCAAUAUUGAUAAGUUAACAUAUAACAUGUUUCAGUUAACCAUGUCACCUUAUUCUAAUCUAUUUAAUAUCCUUUAACAAGUAAAACAUAUAUAGUUUCUAACGAAAAUUCGACAGCACUUCCUCUAUUUAUCGGACUAUCCACCUGUUUUCUUAUAUUAUUCAACAAGUAACCAGCUCAAUCCAACUCAAUAAACCAAUAAGUACGGGACCAAUAUCAGUUAAAACACAAUAUCACAGUAUGCACACUCACAUCGCUAGAUUUGAAAUCAUAUAUCACUGUUAGACAUGAUUAACACUGAUCAACCAAGUAUAACCUCCUCCUAUGCACUAAUCAAAGAAAGAAAACUAGAACAAAUAGUUCAAACAGCCCUCACUCUAUGAUUUUUAAUAAAUUGAAAAUUUAUCUUUUUAAUACAAAAUUUUUAUGAGACACUCCUAAACAUUAUUCCAAUCUACUAUAAAAAUUUCAGAAGCAAAUUCCAUGUUUAAGAGAGUAAAACAGGGCCUGCAAGUCAAGAACCUGAAUCUGUCCUGCAGAACCAGCCCCACGCUAAGAAUUUUAAUAAAUAGAAAAAUUGGUCUGUUUGUAUAAAAUUUUAAUGACAUAUUCCAGACACUAACAUCUAACUCCAGUAAAAAUUUCAGAAUUAAACACCAAGUAUAAGGCCUCCAAACAGAGUCUGCAAUCAGUACAACAGACCCUGUCGAGGAACUCUGCGCACGAAGCACCUCUUUGAUCAUAACUUUUAACUCAAUUAUGAUUAUAAUCUAAUUCUUUCGCAGGUGUAAUCUACACUCCAAAUUGUAACUUGUCACCAAAAUUCAUUGAAAUAUAACAUUCUUAAGACAACUAAAUGUUUGUACCAAAAUAGUAGAAAAUGGUAGCCACUCGAGAACCAAUCUGCACCUAUACAACUCAAUCGCUUAUAACUUUUAAUACAUUUAGCAAAACAUAGUAAUUCUUUUUCAUACUUAAUCUAAACUUCAAGAAACAUAAAAUCACCGAGAAAUCAAGCAUAUCAUACGAACUAAACAAUUCCAAAACAGAGAUUCAAAACAAGACAGCACUGCUACGGAAGCUUGACAACAAUUGACUCAAUUCUAAUGCCACAACUCAAACUAAUCAAAACCCAUAUAACUACAUAUCUUUAUAUGUGUAAUCUGAUUCGAAUUAAAAAAAAAUACUAAUUCACAGCUUUAGACAUCACACAAGCAGGUCUGUACAUAUACAUACACACAAAACCAAUAAAGGAGACAAUUCAAAAUAUACCCAAUUAGAAUAACCAGAGGUGUAGGUGGGUUGUGGCCAAUAGAGUUAAUUGACCGGAGAACUGAAGUAUAAGGCUGGCUUCGAGGGCCACUGUGCAGCGACUGGAGAUGUGGUAGGAGGCUAGGAGCGGAGGAUGGCAGCUACGGAGAAAUCCGGCGGCGGCAGGACAACCCGACAAAGCACGGUGCCGGGAAACGAAGCAGCGGGUACAAAGGUGAAAGAUGGAAGCGGGUGAGUGUUCAGAGAGAGAGAGAGAGACGCGAGAGAUUGAGGGAUAGCAAGGGAUUGAGGGAGAUUGAGAAACAGUGACGAGAGAGAAUUGAUGAGAGACGAGGGUUUUAGAGUCUGUAAAUUAGGGAAGAAAGAUGUACGUGGCAGUAGAAUAGAAAGGAUACAUGACCACGCGGCUUAAUUAUAACCUGCCAUCUAUUAUUUUAUAUAUUGACUAAUCAACUAUCAAAUACCCGCUUUUAACUGAUUUACGGAGAUAAAUCACAGCAAAAUUUCUCC